rnacentral:rRNA from 1 species
GCUCAACCGAAGAAGUGCAUCGGAAACUGGGAAACUUGAGUGCAGAAGAGGACAGUGGAACUCCAUGUGUAGCGGUGAAAUGCGUAGAUAUAUGGAAGAACACCAGUGGCGAAGGCGGCUGUCUGGUCUGUAACUGACGCUGAGGCUCGAAAGUAUGGGUAGCAAACAGGAUUAGAUACCCUGGUAGUCCAUACCGUAAACGAUGAAUGCUAAGUGUUGGAGGGUUUCCGCCCUUCAGUGCUGCAGCUAACGCAUUAAGCAUUCCGCCUGGGGAGUACGGCCGCAAGGCCGAAACUCAAAGGAAUUGACGGGGGCCCGCACAAGCGGUGGAGCAUGUGGUUUAAUUCGAAGCUACGCGAAGAACCUUACCAGGUCUUGACAUACUAUGCAAAUCUAAGAGAUUAGACGUUCCCUUCGGGGACAUGGAUACAGGUGGUGCAUGGUUGUCGUCAGCUCGUGUCGUGAGAUGUUGGGUUAAGUCCCGCAACGAGCGCAACCCUUAUUAUCAGUUGCCAGCAUUAAGUUGGGCACUCUGGUGAGACUGCCGGUGACAAACCGGAGGAAGGUGGGGAUGACGUCAAAUCAUCAUGCCCCUUAUGACCUGGGCUACACACGUGCUACAAUGGAUGGUACAACG